AAGUUUGAAAAAAAUUUUUAUUCGUUUGUUCUAACAAUACUUCAUAUUUUAGAUGAUAGUUUUAACUUUAAGUCCUUAAACUCCUUAAGCUGUAACUAUGGCAACUACGAUGUGCUUUUGGUUUCUUUUGACAACAACAGUGUAUGUAGCAAACAGCUCACCAAAAUAUGUCGAAACUCAAAGUAAGAAUAUAAAAAGAGACGGUGGAGGUGGGUAUCAUCACGACGGAGAUACGUUUGGAGAUCUUCACAUACCUGUUCAUUCGAUGUUGAAUGGAUUUAAUUCUGGACAUCGACUACGACCAAUGCAUGAAAUGCAAUUACAUGGAGGACGUUGGGAUCAUCUUUCAUCGCGCAUGAAAAAUUACGGACAUUUUAAAAAAACACAAGUUAAACAAAGUACCAAAAUAACAAAAAACUGAAGCAAAGCAAAUAAUUUUUACCUCUGGUUGUCUAUACAACUGUGAUUAACAAUAUUUUUGAUCCUGGUUCAACUCAGUGCAAUAAUAGAAAUAUUUAGUAAAUAUAAUAGCUAAUGCUAAUAUCAUUGUAAGCGUUA